UUGAGCUAUAUGAGCGGGAAACUCUCAUGUACGGUUCUAAGACCAAGGGAAAGGAGCAACCCCUUUUCUUUAGUCGAU
rnacentral:ncRNA from 1 species